rnacentral:rRNA from 1 species
AAUGCGUAGAGAUGUGGAGGAACACCAGUGGCGAAGGCGACUCUCUGGUCUGUAACUGACGCUGAGGCGCGAAAGCGUGGGGAGCGAACAGGAUUAGAUACCCUGGUAGUCCACGCCGUAAACGAUGAGUGCUAAGUGUUAGAGGGUUUCCGCCCUUUAGUGCUGCAGCUAACGCAUUAAGCACUCCGCCUGGGGAGUACGGCCGCAAGGCUGAAACUCAAAGGAAUUGACGGGGGCCCGCACAAGCGGUGGAGCAUGUGGUUUAAUUCGAAGCAACGCGAAGAACCUUACCAGGUCUUGACAUCCUCUGACACCUCUAGAGAUAGAGCGUUCCCCUUCGGGGGACAGAGUGACAGGUGGUGCAUGGUUGUCGUCAGCUCGUGUCGUGAGAUGUUGGGUUAAGUCCCGCAACGAGCGCAACCCUUGAUCUUAGUUGCCAGCAUUCAGUUGGGCACUCUAAGGUGACUGCCGGUGACAAACCGGAGGAAGGUGGGGAUGACGUCAAAUCAUCAUGCCCCUUAUGACCUGGGCUACACACGUGCUACAAUGGAUGGUACAAAGGGCAGCAAAGCCGCGAGGCCGAGCGAAUCCCAUAAAGCCAUUCUC